GAAAACGAGUUAGAAGAAACUUAUCCGAGAAUCGACUGAUCAUCACACAACAUUUCACUGAACGGACAGUCACGCCCGGUGGUGAUAUAAGCAUGCAAUGUGCAGCAUCAAGCGACAGACCUCCUCAGUUCACUUGGGAGAGAGAUGGAGUUACUAUCUCCAGUAAUACUGACCCAAGAUACGCUUUAGGUCAGGUAAUGACAUCAGAUAACUCCGUGGUAACCCAGCUUAAUAUCACGCGAGUUAGAGUUGAAGAUGGCGG